AGGACGAACGCUGGCGGCGUGCCUAACACAUGCAAGUCGAACGAGGUUGAUCUGGUGGCAACACCAGUGACUGCCUAGUGGCGAACGGGUGAGUAACACGUGAGGAACCUGCCCAGAAGACCGGGAUAACUCUCCGAAAGGAGUGCUAAUACCGGAUACCCCCACCUAAUCGCAUGAUCUGGUGAGGAAAUGGAUUCCGCUUCGGGAGGGCCUCGCGGCCUAUCAGCUAGUUGGUGGGGUAACGGCCCACCAAGGCAUCGACGGGUAGCUGGUCUGAGAGGACGAUCAGCCACACUGGGACUGAGACACGGCCCAGACUCCUACGGGAGGCAGCAGUGGGGAAUCUUGCGCAAUGGGCGAAAGCCUGACGCAGCAACGCCGCGUGGGGAUGAAGGCUCUCGGGUUGUAAACCCCUUUCAGCAGGGACGAAUCAAGACGGUACCUGCAGAAGAACGCCCGGCUAACUACGUGCCAGCAGCCGCGGU
rnacentral:rRNA from 1 species